GGGGGUGGUUGACGAGGAUCUGAGAGAGGAACUGGCCGGUAGGGGACUCGAGCUUGAGAGGAGCGAUCGGGGACGGCUCCGUCGCCGCCUUGAUUAUGAGGCUCCGGCGACGGGGCGUCGCGAAAGCCGGCCGCCAUGGCGACGAAUUUGAUAGGUUGGGAGAUCUGCCGCCGUGGAGGUUGAAGGAGAUGCAAUUAGGGCGGCGCGCGGCGGCGGGGAAGGCGGGUCUGGGGGUUGUGCAGGCGUAUGGGGAGGAUCGGACGGCCGUUGACGCCUCCAUCGGAGAGGGAUUUGGGGAAAUUGAAACCCUAGAUCGGAGAUUGAAAAUUGGGGAUUUGGGUGUGAAGAAGAGGUCGUCC
rnacentral:misc_RNA from 1 species